rnacentral:rRNA from 1 species
CAUAUCAAUAAGCGGAGGAAAAGAAACUAACAAGGAUUCCCCUAGUAACUGCGAGUGAAGCGGGAAAAGCUCAAAUUUAAAAUCUGGCAGUCUUUGGCUGUCCGAGUUGUAAUCUAGAGAAGUGUUAUCCGCGCUGGACCGUGUACAAGUCUCCUGGGAUGGAGCGUCGUAGAGGGUGAGAAUCCCGUCUUUGACACGGACUGCCAGGGCUUUGUGAUGCGCUCUCAAAGAGUCGAGUUGUUUGGGAAUGCAGCUCAAAAUGGGUGGUAAAUUCCAUCUAAAGCUAAAUAUUGGCGAGAGACCGAUAGCGAACAAGUACCGUGAGGGAAAGAUGAAAAGAACUUUGGAAAGAGAGUUAAACAGUACGUGAAAUUGCUGAAAGGGAAACGCUUGAAGUCAGUCGCGUUGUCCAGGGAUCAACCUUGCUUUUGCUUGGUGCACUUUCUGGUUGACGGGUCAGCAUCAAUUUUGACUAUUGGAAAAAGAUUAGGGGAAUGUGACAUCUUUGGAUGUGUUAUAGCCCUUGGUUGCAUACAAUGGUUGGGAUUGAGGAACUCAGCACGCCGCAAGGCCGGGUUUUAACCACGUACGUGCUUAGGAUGCUGGCAUAAUGGCUUUAAUCGACCCGUCUUGAAACACGGACCAAGGAGUCUAACAUGCCUGCGAGUGUUUGGGUGGAAAACCCGAGCGCGUAAUGAAAGUGAAAGUUGAGAUCCCUGUCGUGGGGAGCAUCGACGCCCGGACCAGACCUUUUGUGACGGUUCCGCGGUAGAGCAUGUAUGUUGGGACCCGAAAGAUGGUGAACUAUGCCUGAAUAGGGUGAAGCCAGAGGAAACUCUGGUGGAGGCUCGUAGCGAUUCUGACGUGCAAAUCGAUCGUCAAAUUUGGGUAUAGGGGCGAAAGACUAAUCGAACCAUCUAGUAGCUGGUUCCUGCC